UGACUCCAGGGUCUAUGGCGUGUCAGGGUCCCAGCACCACAUGCUGAGAUUCCGCUCACUCUGCUUCUCUCCAAGUAUUGGCUGCAUCCUCUGACUCAUAUGUGUCACCUUUCCAGAAUUCAUCCUGCAAAAAUGGGAAGCACCUAAUUUGGCAGAAGCCGGAGUGGCCUGAUUCCAACUACUGACAGCUAAAACUGAUUUCACUAAGACCUCCCGAUGCUCAAGAUUUCCGCAUGAGAUGUGACCUCUUUUCCAACAUGCCUGGGAUACCAAAUAAUAGCCACGAUAUUGGUUGAACCGCUGUUACGUGCCAAGCACU
rnacentral:lncRNA from 1 species